GACGAAGGAUGCAAGCGUUAUCCGGAUUCAUUGGGUUUAAAGGGAGCGUAGGUGGCCUUAUAAGUCAGUGGUGAAAUCUCUGGGCUUAACCCAGAAAUUGCCAUUGAUACUGUAGGGCUUGAGUAUAGUUCCGUUGGCGGAAUAUGACAUGUAGUGGUGAAAUACAUAGAGAUGUCAUAGAACACCGAUUGCGAAGGCAGCUGACGAAACUAUAACUGACACUGAGGCUCGAAAGUGUGGGGAUCAAACAGG
rnacentral:rRNA from 1 species